AGGCAGACAGUGGAUGAAUAUUGCACUGACUCGGCGCAGCAGAGCCUGAUGCAGCCAUGAUCAAACUCUGAAAGAAGGCCUUUCGGGUUGUAAAGUACUUUCAGCGGGGAGGAAGGGAGUAAAGUUAAUACCUUUGCUCAUUGACGUUACCCGCAGAAGAAGCACCGGCUAACUCCGUGCCAGCCAGCCGCGAUAAUACGGAGGGUGCAAGCGUUAAUCGGAAUUACUGGGGCGUAAAGCGCACGCAGGCG
rnacentral:rRNA from 1 species